rnacentral:rRNA from 2 species
AGAGUUUGAUCCUGGCUCAGGACGAACGCUGGCGGCGUGCCUAAUACAUGCAAGUCGAACGUACUCUGGUAUUGAUUGGUGCUUGCAUCAUGAUUUACAUUUGAGUGAGUGGCGAACUGGUGAGUAACACGUGGGAAACCUGCCCAGAAGCGGGGGAUAACACCUGGAAACAGAUGCUAAUACCGCAUAACAACUUGGACCGCAUGGUCCGAGCUUGAAAGAUGGCUUCGGCUAUCACUUUUGGAUGGUCCCGCGGCGUAUUAGCUAGAUGGUGGGGUAACGGCUCACCAUGGCAAUGAUACGUAGCCGACCUGAGAGGGUAAUCGGCCACAUUGGGACUGAGACACGGCCCAAGCUCCUACGGGAGGCAGCAGUAGGGAAUCUUCCACAUUGGACGAAAGUCUGAUGGAGCAACGCCGCGUGAGUGAAGAAGGGUUUCGGCUCGUAAAACUCUGUUGUUAAAGAAGAACAUAUCUGAGAGUAACUGUUCAGGUAUUGACGGUAUUUAACCAGAAAGCCACGGCUAACUACGUGCCAGCAGCCGCGUUAAUACGUAGGUGGCAAGCGUUGUCCAGAUUUAUUGGGCGUAAAGCGAGCGCAGGCGGUUUUUUAAGUCUGAUGUGAAAGCCUUCGGCUCAACCGAAGAAGUGCAUCGGAAACUGGGAAACUUGAGUGCAGAAGAGGACAGUGGAACUCCAUGUGUAGCGGUGAAAUGCGUAGAUAUAUGGAAGAACACCAGUGGCGAAGGCGGCUGUCUGGUCUGUAACUGACGCUGAGGCUCGAAAGUAUGGGUAGCAAACAGGAUUAGAUACCCUGGUAGUCCAUACCGUAAACGAUGAAUGCUAAGUGUUGGAGGGUUUCCGCCCUUCAGUGCUGCAGCUAACGCAUUAAGCAUUCCGCCUGGGGAGUACGGCCGCAAGGCUGAAACUCAAAGGAAUUGACGGGGGCCCGCACAAGCGGUGGAGCAUGUGGUUUAAUUCGAAGCUACGCGAAGAACCUUACCAGGUCUUGACAUACUAUGCAAAUCUAAGAGAUUAGACGUUCCCUUCGGGGACAUGGAUACAGGUGGUGCAUGGUUGUCGUCAGCUCGUGUCGUGAGAUGUUGGGUUAAGUCCCGCAACGAGCGCAACCCUUAUUAUCAGUUGCCAGCAUUAAGUUGGGCACUCUGGUGAGACUGCCGGUGACAAACCGGAGGAAGGUAGGGAUGACGUCAAAUCAUCAUGCCCCUUAUGACCUGGGCUACACACGUGCUACAAUGGAUGGUACAACGAGUUGCGAACUCGCGAGAGUAAGCUAAUCUCUUAAAGCCAUUCUCAGUUCGGAUUGUAGGCUGCAACUCGCCUACAUGAAGUCGGAAUCGCUAGUAAUCGCGGAUCAGCAUGCCGCGGUGAAUACGUUCCCGGGCCUUGUACACACCGCCCGUCACACCAUGAGAGUUUGUAACACCCAAAGUCGGUGGUUUAACC